rnacentral:rRNA from 1 species
AAAGAUUAAGCCAUGCAUGUCUAAGUAUAAGCAAUUAUACAGCGAAACUGCGAAUGGCUCAUUAUAUAAGUUAUCGUUUAUUUGAUAGUACCUUACUACUUGGAUAACCGUGGUAAUUCUAGAGCUAAUACAUGCUAAAAAUCCCGACUUCGGAAGGGAUGUAUUUAUUAGAUUAAAAACCAAUGCCCUUCGGGGCUCACUGGUGAUUCAUAAUAACUUCUCGAAUCGCAUGGCCUUGUGCCGGCGAUGGUUCAUUCAAAUUUCUUCCCUAUCAACUUUCGAUGCUAGAGUAGUGUUCUAGCAUGGUUACAACGGGUAACGGAGGGUUAGGGCUCGACCCCGGAGAAGGAGCCUGAGAAACGGCUACUACAUCCAAGGAAGGCAGCAGGCGCGCAAAUUACCCAAUCCCGACACGGGGAGGUAGUGACGAUAAAUACUGAUACAGGGCUCUUUUGGGUCUUGUAAUUGGAAUGAGUACAAUUUAAAUCCCUUAACGAGGAACAAUUGGAGGGCAAGUCUGGUGCCAGCAGCCGCGGUAAUUCCAGCUCCAAUAGCGUAUAUUAAAGUUGUUGUGGUUAAAAAGCUCGUAGUAGAACCUUGGGCCUGGCUGGCCGGUCCGCCUCACCGCGUGCACUGGUCCGGCCGGGCCUUUCCCUCUGUGGAACCGCAUGCCCUUCACUGGGUGUGCCGGGGAAACAGGACUUUUACUUUGAAAAAAUUAGAGUGCUCCAGGCAGGCCUAUGCUCGAAUACAUUAGCAUGGAAUAAUAGAAUAGGACGUGUGGUUCUAUUUUGUUGGUUUCUAGGACCGCCGUAAUGAUUAAUAGGGACAGUCGGGGGCAUCAGUAUUCAAUUGUCAGAGGUGAAAUUCUUGGAUUUAUUGAAGACUAACUACUGCGAAAGCAUUUGCCAAGGAUGUUUUCAUUUAUCAGGAACGAAAGUUAGGGGAUCGAAGACGAUCAGAUACCGUCGUAGUCUUAACCAUAAACUAUGCCGACUAGGGAUCGGACGAUGUUAUUUUUUGACUCGUUCGGCACCUUACGAGAAAUCAAAGUGCUUGGGCUCCAGGGGGAGUAUGGUCGCAAGGCUGAAACUUAAAGAAAUUGACGGAAGGGCACCACCAGGGGUAAACAGUAGCCGUUCAAGCUCUGCCCCAGACAGCGAGCCCGUAAAGGGUCCGGUGGCCAGCCCCGAAUCGCUAGUCACCCCAGCGGUGGCGACAUCCCCCAAUUGCGGGAAACCCUCGAAGGGUGGCACUCCCAAGCAGCGCUCGAAAGAGACGCUGUGGCGGCGGCGUAACGGCCGCCGGUACGGGGACAACGUGCCGCUCAUGAGGCGACUCGCAGCCAAGCCCCUAACCACGGGGAAGGUUCAGAGACUCGACGGGGAUGGGUGGCGCCCCCGGGCGCCGCCUAAGAUAGAGUCCGUACCCGCUCGAGAGAGCGGGGACUAACUAGCACGUUACCUGAAAAGGGAGCCUGCGGCUUAAUUUGACUCAACACGGGGAAACUCACCAGGUCCAGACACAAUGAGGAUUGACAGAUUGAGAGCUCUUUCUUGAUUUUGUGGGUGGUGGUGCAUGGCCGUUCUUAGUUGGUGGAGUGAUUUGUCUGCUUAAUUGCGAUAACGAACGAGACCUUAACCUGCUAAAUAGCCCAUAUUGCUUUGGCAGUAUGCUGGCUUCUUAGAGGGACUAUCGGCUCAAGCCGAUGGAAGUUUGAGGCAAUAACAGGUCUGUGAUGCCCUUAGAUGUUCUGGGCCGCACGCGCGUUACACUGACAGAGCCAGCGAGUACUCCCUUGGCCGGAAGGCCCGGGUAAUCUUGUUAAACUCUGUCGUGCUGGGGAUAGAGCAUUGCAAUUAUUGCUCUUCAACGAGGAAUCCCUAGUAAGCGCAAGUCAUCAGCUUGCGUUGAUUACGUCCCUGCCCUUUGUACACACCGCCCGUCGCUACUACCGAUUGAAUGGCUCAGUGAGGCUUCCGGACUGGCCCAGAGAGGUGGGCAACUACCACUCAGGGCCGGAAAGUUAUCCAAACUCGGUCAUUUAGAGGAAGUAAAAGUCGUAACAAGGUCUCCGUUGGUGAACCAGCGGAGGGAUCAUUACUGAGUUUACGCUCUAUAACCCUUUGUGAACAUACCAAACCGUUGCUUCGGCGGGCGGGAGGUCCGCCUCCCCCCUGCCCCGCUCGCGGGGCGCCCGCCGGAGGAAAACCCAACUCUAUUUUAACGACGUCUCUUCUGAGUGGCACAAGCAAAUAAUCAAAACUUUUAACAACGGAUCUCUUGGUUCUGGCAUCGAUGAAGAACGCAGCGAAAUGCGAUAAGUAAUGUGAAUUGCAGAAUUCAGUGAAUCAUCGAAUCUUUGAACGCACAUUGCGCCCGCCAGCAUUCUGGCGGGCAUGCCUGUUCGAGCGUCAUUUCAACCCUCAAGCACCGCUUGGCGUUGGGGCUUCCACGGCUGACGUGGGCCCUCAAAGACAGUGGCGGACCCUCGCGGAGCCUCCUUUGCGUAGUAACAUACCACCUCGCACCGGGACCCGCAGGGCACUCCUGCCGUAAAACCCCCCAAUUUUAACAAGGUUGACCUCGGAUCAGGUAGGAAUACCCGCUGAACUUAAGCAUAUCAAUAAGCGGAGGAAAAGAAACCAACAGGGAUUGCCCCAGUAACGGCGAGUGAAGCGGCAACAGCUCAAAUUUGAAAUCUGGCCCCCAGGGCCCGAGUUGUAAUUUGCAGAGGAUGCUUUGGGCGCGGUGCCUUCCGAGUUCCCUGGAACGGGACGCCAUAGAGGGUGAGAGCCCCGUACGGUUGGACACCAAGCCUGUGUAAAGCUCCUUCGACGAGUCGAGUAGUUUGGGAAUGCUGCUCAAAAUGGGAGGUAUAUUUCUUCUAAAGCUAAAUAUUGGCCAGAGACCGAUAGCGCACAAGUAGAGUGAUCGAAAGAUGAAAAGCACUUUGAAAAGAGGGUUAAACAGCACGUGAAAUUGUUAAAAGGGAAGCGCUUGUGACCAGACUUGCGCCCGGCGGAUCACCCGGCUCUCGCGGCCGGGGCACUCCGCCGGCUCAGGCCAGCAUCAGCUCGCUGUCGGGGACAAAAGCUUCGGGAACGUGGCUCCCUCCGGGGAGUGUUAUAGCCCGUUGCACAAUACCCUUCGGUGGGCUGAGGUACGCGCUCCGCAAGGAUGCUGGCGUAAUGGUCAUCAGCGAC